AGGCCCCGGCCCGUGGUGGUGGCCGCUGCCCAGCGGCCCGGCACCCCCAUAGUCCAUGGCGCCCGAGGCAGCGUGGGGGAGAGGAGAUGGGCAGACUGGAAACCUCAAACUGGAAGGCCUUCUCUGCCCAAAGAAGAGAUCCCAUUGAAGGAAAAGGAAACGCCAAGACAUAGAAAACCACGCUUUUCCCGUAGGAAGAACCGAUGAUGAGCCCUGAUGAAAGAAGGAAGAAGACCCGCUGUCUGCGAAGGCCUAAAGGUUAGAAAUACAGCAAUUUUUCUCAUGCCGAAGGAAAGGCAAAAUGGUCUAAGAAACUGCAAGAGUGUGAUACAAGUUUUCCUCAACAGCGAGCUGGGACUGGCGACAAUUUCUUAACUCACAGCCUCCGCAGUCGCCUUAGUCGACAAAGAGAGCAGCCCACGCAGCGGCCGCCGCGCCCGUGCCCGUGGCCUUUACUUGCUUUUGCCCUGAAGUUCAGUGUAGUGGUUUGUUUGGGGCUUGCAGGAAGAAACAAACACACUCCCUCUGACUCUCCACAACCCAUCUUUGCCUUCUGCAACCGCUUCUCCUGCCCAUCGCUGGUUUUGGGGUAGGCUCUUUGUCUGCCUGAGGCCCCGCACUCGCAGGGCAAGAAGCUUAAAGGAAUCCAACUCCAAACUCCUCCGAAGUUAAAUAUUGACCAGAACCUCUUUCAACAGGCCGCGGUUGCCAGGAACCGUGGAGGGCCAACUCCUCCCAACCGCCCUGGUGCAAAGUCCCACGCGGCGAAGAGUUUUGGAGCAGCGCUUACCUAGAAAGAUGUUUAAAUUCUGAACCAGGAAUUGUCUCCAACUCCAGGCGCUCAGGGAAUCGCCUUUUCCGGUGUCCAGGCGCUCUGCAGACAAAUAAACAGCAGAAGGUGAAUGGCGGCUGCGAGGGAAGGGAGUUGGAGGCCGGGAGUGGGAAGCGAGGCUCAUGCGGGCGCCAAGGUGGCCCUGGGGGUGACGCGAACAUCAGGGAGUCACCAGGGCACUCGUCCGUGUGGCGCACUCAUUGCUCGAAAUGUUCCAGUCUACAAAUGGUCCGAAGAUGGUGAUUUAUUUUUGUAAAAUAAAUACAUACUCCAUCUCCA
rnacentral:lncRNA from 1 species